rnacentral:rRNA from 1 species
UACGGGGGGGGCAAGCGUUGUUCGGAAUUACUGGGCGUAAAGGGCCAGUAGGCGGCCAACUAAGUCGGAUGUGAAAUCCCAGGGCUCAACUCUGGAAGUGCAUCCGAAACUGCAUGGCUUGAAUCCCGGAGAGGGUGGUGGAAUUCCCAGUGUAGAGGUGAAAUUCGUAGAUAUUGGGAGGAACACCAGUGGCGAAGGCGACCACCUGGACGGAGAUUGACGCUGAGGUGCGAAAGCGUGGGGAUCAAACAGG